rnacentral:tRNA from 1 species
GGGUGGGAAGUUUAGUGGUUAAAGCUCAGGUCUCGUAAACGGAAGGUCCCGGGAUCGAAUCCCGUUAAAGGCG